CACUAAAUUACAUCCCACCAACUUAAGCUUCCCUGGAGUGACUCACACAGUGGUUGACUUUUAAAGUUCAUUGAAGGUGAGGGUUCAGGCUAUACAAGGUCAGAGUUUCUCCAUGAAGCAGGACAAACAAAAAUUCAUAAUGCCAGGCUGUUUGACAUUCUUUCUAAAAGGAGAAGGCCACUGGUUUUUCCCUCCCCUAACUCUUUCCUGGAAAAAAAGUAUAGGAAUUAUCCCCAGUGGUGUUGGAAGACAGAAUUUCUGGUGCCUUACUUGUUGCCAGAUAUAAAGAUAGAAAAUUCAUUACUGAUAUAUACUGGAUCACCAGAAGACUGGAUGGUGGCAGGGCCACAACUCCCAACAUCAAAGCCCAAAGAAUCCUCUGACUCCACCCUCCUAGACAGAGACUGCCCUCCCCAAGAUCUACUUUUUACCAAGAAAGCCUGAAGACCAGGGCCUGCAUCCUGCAAUGAGGUGUUCAACAAUGUAUGGAAAAACCAGAAAAAAUAAGAAAAAAUGUGAUUUUUUUUAAAAAAGUAAGCUCCAUACAUCAAUUUGGGAUUCUGACUUUAUUCUGAAAACAUGCUAUUUUUGCACAUUUAAUGUUAAAUUGUUUCAUACUUUAUGAAAAUACAAUAAUAAUUGAAUGUUCUCGAUGCCUGUAUUCAAAAUCAAAAGUUAACGAUCAAAUUUGGGCUUUUAAGUUGAAGUAAAAAAUACAUACUGCUUUGCAAAAUUCAUGUAUCUGCCACAGCACCUGUUCACACUUAUUACAAAUGCUUUUAUAAAUGAGUGUCUCUCUAGACUCCAGGGCCUGUGACAGUAGGGAUCAUCCUUAUUCAUCUGGACAUGAGGAUCUAUUGUAGUGCUUGUUUAAAGAAUAUUCUCUGCAGAAUGCAUGGAGAGAAGAAAGGUAGCAAAAAGGUCAGAAGACUAAGAAAUAUUUUAUAGAAAUAUUUUCUUUUAAUCUUUUCUUCUCAGUGUAAUUUUAAGAAAUGUAAAAGGCUCCUUCCCAAAACAAU
rnacentral:lncRNA from 1 species